AGGACAGAGGAGAUUAAGAAAGAAUUCUACAACCGUAAGCUGGAAAGGAGCAAGAGAAGUGCACAGAGUUUCUUAGUGGGAUCAGGGGAAAAUCAGCCAUCCAAGAAGGUUAGUACCUUAGGAUAGCCUAGUUCGAGUUUCAGAAUGCCAGUAGAAUCAAGUGUGAAGUCUUUUGCUUUGACCAAUCUAGAGCAGAGGAGGUCUGAGUAGAGAUUUGUGCCACAGUCAGCAA
rnacentral:lncRNA from 1 species